rnacentral:lncRNA from 1 species
UUCUUUUCUCUCCAAAGCAUCAAAAGCACCUCGACAAACACUACAACCUAAAGAGAUGGGUGUGAAUGAAGCUGCAUUGUAGAAAAGUUGAAGGAAUUACUAUUGGCAAUUGAAGACUGUUUGAGUUUUAUUUUAAUGUGAUUUUGAGAGAAAAUAUAUUUCGAAUAGUGACUUUUUGAAGAAUUUGUGGUUAUAAGGUUUUGGAUUUAUUUUUAAUAUUAUUUUAUGAAAGAAUGAGUGAUUAAAAAUGAGUUUAAAAAAUACACUUUAAAAUUAAUGAAGCCCAAACAAGACUUAAUAAUCUACGGAGACUUGACUCACAACGUACACUUCCUCUAGUGCUCCCUUUGCUGUUAAGAAAUCUCCAAACACUGCUGAAAUAUGGCCUACAAAAAAGAUUUUCAAUAGAUAAUAACGACAAUCUAAGAGGGUGUACGGUGAGGAUUAAUAUUAGAUUUUUUAGUAGAUUGUGAUAGAAGUUUUUGAAAUAUAUGAUUGAAACGUUGUGGGAUCCAUGAAAGAUAUUAUUAAUAUUGAUUUAUUGACUUUAACUUAAAUUAAAAUUAAAUUUUAAUUCAAAUCAAACAUGCACUAAAUUCCGACGUUAAUCGAGUCACUGUCCUCGUACAAACUUUUUGCAAGCUUUGAGAUAAAGAAAGAGAAUAAAGCAAUUUAUUAGUUUGUACCCUUUAUGCUGUACGGAUCCAAUAGAUGUAUCUCUCUAGGACCCAGCAUGAAAUGUGAGUGAAUUCCCAAAAAUAAAAAAAAAAAAAAAAAAAAAAAAAAAAAAAAAAAAAAAAAAAAAAAAAAAAAAAAAAAAAAAAAAAAAAAAAAAAAAAAAAAAAAAAAAAAAAAAAAAAAAAAAAAAUUAUAAUAAUAAUAUUAUCGGCUUGCCUGAUUCAUUUUUCAUUGCAUUAAUGGACCGACUAUCACCUAAAAUUGAUUUUCAUAGUCACGCAUACUAAUGAUUAUUUAGAAUUUAGAUGAAUAAUAUUAUUCUUAAUUUAAACUGUUUGGAAGUGAAAUAAUCUUUUGUAAUCAAUGUAUUUUUAUAUGAUUAAAUUAUUGAUGAAAUAAGGGCUAUAAUAUUCACAGGAUUCAUAUUAAGUCUCUGUUUGGUCUAAAUAAAAAUAUCAAAUCAAAAUGAAUGACUAAUUUUAACUAUACAUUUUCUAAGACCUAUAACUUCUUAACCACAUAUUUCAUUAACUUUUUUUUUUUUAAUUAAAAAUCAGAUUUUUACCUACACCUAAAUGAGCUCAAUUCGAAAUAACACAAAAUGAGAUGCCGACCAGCAAAAUUGGCCUUAAUAUGAUAUUGCCCUUGUUUGAGCCCCAUUUUUGUGAAGAAAAUGAAUUUUUAAAUAGUGUAUUGAUGGAAAAUGUGUGGUUAAAAAAUAAGGAAAAAUUUUUGAUUUGCGUAUAAUAUUAUUUUAUUGAAAAAUGUGUAGUUGAAAUGAUGUCAAAUCACCAUUGAAAAAUCUAUUUUGAUUGAAAAAUGGGACUCAAACAAGGUCAUACUAAAUUGUGUUAAUUUCAUUUGAGGUGAGAAUGUGAGGUAUGGCAUUGACAAGUUAAUAAGUCCCCGUUUGACAUUCCAUUUUUUUAUUUAUUUUUUUGGGUAAAAAAUGAGUUUUUGAAUAGUAAUUUUUUGAAUAAUUUGUGAUAAAAAGUAGGGAAUAGUUUUGAUUUGCGUAAAAAGUAUUUUACUACAAUCUAAAUGAGUAUUAAAAAAAGAGAGAGUUAAGAAAGAACAGUUACCAAAACAAGAAAGAACAGUUACCAAAACAAAGGCUAAAUAGACACACCACGACGGUAAAUAAGACUUGACUCACAACGUAGACUUCCUCUAGUGCUCCCUUUGCUGUUAAGAAAUCUCCAAGCACUGCUAAAAUGUGGCCUACAAAAGAGAUUUUCAAUAGAUAAUAACGACAAUUUAAGAGGGUGUACGGUGAUGAUUAAUAUUAGAUUUUUUAGUAGAUUGUGAUAGAAGUUUUUGAAAUAUAUGAUUGAAAUAUUGUGGGAUCCAUGAAAGAUAUUAUUAAUAUUGAUUAUUUGAGUUUAACUUAAAUUAAAAUUAAAAUUUAAUUCAAAUCAAACAUGCACUAAAUUCCGACGUUAAUCUAGUCACUGUCCUCGUACAAACUUUUUGCAAGCUUUGAGAUAAAGAAAGAGAAUAAAGCAAUUUAUUAGUUUGUACCCUUUAUGCUGUACGGAUCCAAUAGAUGUAUCUCUCUAGGACCCAGCAUGAAAUGUGAGUGAAUUCCCAAAAAUAAAAAAAAAAAAAAAAAAAAAAAAAAAAAAAAAAAAAAAAAAAAAAAAAAAAAAAAAAAAAAAAAAAAAAAAAAAAUUCAUGGUGAAAUGAAAAAAAAUAAAAAUUUAGUCUAAUUCAAAAAUUAAUUUUAACCCAAUUCAAAAAUUAAUUUUAACCCAACUAACUUCAUUCACAACCCAAACUCAAUGUUGAAUUAUUCAAAUUUUGUUUAAGACUUUGCAACAUUUACAUAUUUAUUUUAUUCACAUUCAUGAUGCACAAAUAACUCGUUAUUAAAUUAAGUAUUUUAUUUCAUUCAUAUAUAUAAAAAACUAAGUUUAAAGAGUUCACAUAUAAUCAAAUUAGUUUAUUAUGCAACAAAUAAUUUGUAUCGAUUAAUGUCACAUGUUUGACUAAGCUUAAAAGUAAUCAAAUUUUUUCGAUACAUUUUUUCAUAUAUUAUUAAUUUAUACUUAUAAGUUAAAAAUUGAUUUAUUUCAACCAUGAAAUGGAUGUAAUUAUCAAAAUAAGUAAUUUGCUCUAUACUUAAUUUUAUUAGUUUAAAAUAUAUUUGUUAUAACUUUUGUCAUGAGUGUCCAAAAAUAUACUGGCUCACUUUGUCACGAACACGAGUUUAACCCUUUAAACUAAGUACUUGUUUGAUAGGAAUUUUGAUAAUUGAUUUUUUGACCGUUAGAGAUAAAGUGGGUUCCACCUGUGAAAAAAGAAUUAAAAAAUGAUAAUUGGAAUAGUGAAAUAAUGAUAAAAAAAUUAAUUUUAAUUUACCUAAAAUCUGUACCAAAUAAGCACUAAAUCUCGUGUGGCAUAGAACAUCUUUUAUAAUAUGAGUUCAUUGAAAAGAAAUUAAAUUUCAGCUCAUCUUAAUAUAUCUUUCUAGCUCCGUCCUUGUUAUGAUAACUCAAAUUUCAAUUUAACAAUUCUUAAACUUUUACGACUUCUUAAUUUUUACUUUGAUUGGUAAAACAAAGGCCCUUCUAAUAAAUUCACCGAAACCUUUAACCUUGUAUACGCGACAUCAAACAUGUCGUCGUUAAAGAUAGAUACUCAUAAAUUAACAAACAUCAUUUUAUUACAUAGAACUAAAAAUAUUAGCACAUAGAUCACAAUCCAACAUUCGACCUCUCUAAACGGUAAAAAUAUUAGCACAUAGAUCACAAUCCAACAUUCGACCUCUCUAAACGGCUCUAGAGUUGAAGAUUAGAGACAGACACCCUAUUUCCAUAUUAAUUGAUACUACUAAAACACGCAUAACAGCAAAUUAAACACGACAGUUGAAUCUGUCCCAAUUACCAUGGCAAUGGAUUUCAACUUACAGUACUAUAGUAUUAAUAUCUGACCUCAGCGACGAAGGUUGCGAAAAUAGGCAACAAGGUUAUCAUUAAUUCAAGAUCCAAACUGUACAACAAAUAUAAUAGAGAACUUUACAGAAAAAUCUAAAACCACUGCAUCUAGUUUUGAUCUUUCAUAGGCUCAGACCAUAAACCUCUAAGGAACAUCACAGAGGCACUGAACUGAACAAUAGACCCUCACAAUCCCAACUUCAAAGUCCUUACAAUGGAACAUGAAAAUGGACAGACCACUUCACAACAGUUUACUUACACAGAGAGUUCUCAGACCAAGGACUCGAUUAUCACAAAGAUAUCACUAGAUAAUCUUACAAAGAGAAGAUGAAAAAAUCACAGAGACAGAAAGCCCUUGAAGAUUCCAGAAAGAGACGACUCACAGAAAGAGAAGAAAAAUGACGAUUCAAUCUCUAGGUCAAAGAAAAGGGUCUUAUUUAUAGUUAAAACCAUCAGCACUUGAUUAGUGGGUUAAUCCAACGGCUCCAGAGCGACUAAGAGUGGAAUGAAUUAUUGGGCUUGGUUAAGUGGGCCAUCUCAUUCUAUAUUGGGCCUUUUUUUUCUUUUUUCUUUUUUAUCAUCAAAGCUUAUGUUGGACAGGACCUUGGCAUCACAACCCAACAGUUACACUCAAAGUCUUUUCUAGGAAUAUAUGUAUCUAUUUUUCCUGGUGCUUUCAUCAUCUUCUCCGUUGGUGGCUCUUCUACCGGGAUGGCUAGAUUCCAUAACUCACGAGCCAAAGCCACCACUUCGAACGCUAUUGCUACCGUAGCCUUGAAAGAUGUUCCUUUAUUUUGUCAACCAGAAACUCCAGAGUUUCCAUCAAAGAAGAUGAAAAAAUCACAGAGACAGAAAGUCCUUGAAGAUUCCAGAAAUAGACGACUCACAAAAAGAGAAAAAAAUGACGAUUCAAUCUCUAGGUCAAAGAAAAGGGUCUUAUUUAUAGUUAAAACCACCAGCCAUUGAUCAGUAGGUUAAUCCAACGGCUCCAGAGCAACUAAGAGUGGACUGAAUUAUUGGGCUUGGUUAAGUGGGCCAUCUCAUUCCAUAUUGGGCCUUUUUUUUUUUUUUUUUUUUUAUCAUCAAAGCCUAUGUCGGACAGGACCUUGGCAUCACAGCCCAACAGUUAUCCUCAAAGUCUUUUCUAGGAAUAUAUGUAUCUAUUUUUCCUGGUGCUUUCAUCAUCUCCUCCGUUGGUGGCUCUUCUGUCGGGCUGGCUAGAUUCCAUAACUCACGCGCCAGAGCCACCACUCCAAACACUGUUGCUACUGUAGCCAUGAAAGAUGUUCCUUUAUUUGGUCGCCCAGAACCUCCAGAGUUUCCAUCGGAGCUCAUACUUAUUAUUAUUAUAACAAUAAUUAUUAUUAUUUUAUUAUUUUUAAUUUUAAUUUUUUAGUAUUUCUUGCUCUUAUGUUCUUCACCCAGGUGGGGAUUGGAUAAAUUUAUAGGCAGUGAAAUUGGUUUAUUUAUAAACUUAAUAUCGAUGACACCCCUAAAGCAUUUGACUAUUAUUAGAAACACCCUUUACCUUUUAACUACAUAAACCUCCUCUAGGGUUUGUUUUCCAAUCAAAAAUGAAAAAUUAAGAAAAUGUACAUUCUGCUUUAGCUUCUAUAUAUUUGUAUUGCAUAUAAAAGGAUUUAAAAAAUAUUACUUCUAUUUUGAUUUUAUCAUUUGUUAAAAGAAAUAUGGAAUGAACUUUUAAUCAUGGAAUCGACUGUUUACAAAGAAUUUUUAUUUCUAUAUAUAUAUUUUUUAUAUUUGUACCUUUAUGCAAUGUUUAGCUAAAAUAAAUUCCUCUUAUUGUUCUUACAAAAACAUAACAAAGUUAGAAUUGAAGAAAAAUAUACAAUGUAAUUUGUCCUUUAUAUAGUCAACAUUUUGAUUAAUAUUGCUCUUCUUUCUUUAAAUAAUAAAGUUAAUUUUGAAAAAUAUUAUUGCGUUGUGACCAAAAUGCAAGAGAAAACAUGUAGUUUCUUCAAGUUAAAAAAUAAUUCAUGAUGAUGAUAAAUAGCAUAAAAAAUAGCUUAGUCUUAAGAUAUUUAAUUAUUUCUACUUUAGAAGUACUGAAUUUUAAUUUGUCAUACAUUUAUAAUCUAGUUUUUUCAAACUAUAAUACUCAUUUAAGAAAAAGAUUUCUUCUUAACAACUUGACAAUGUUUAAAUUGGGAUUUUAGAGAUUAUUUCAGUAUAUUCUUAUAUUCUAUAAUUAUUUUAUAAUAUAAAAAAUAAUUUUAAAAUAUAACAUUUGUUGAUUCCUGCAAUUUAGUAAAAAUUUGAUCAUCAUCCCAUAUAACAUUACUACGUACAAAAAAUUCAAAAAAAUUAUAUUUUUCUUAUAAGAAAAUCACAAUUAAACUCAUAACAGUUAUUUUAGUUUUUAAGUAGGUAAAAUAUUAAUAUAAUUAGAAAUAUUUCUGUAGCUUUUUAAUUUUUUUGACUCCACAAUAUAUGAUAAAUUGUGGUCUUGAUUGAAUGGAAAUAGGGAUGGUAAAAAAACCCGUUCAACUCGAUACCCAUGGGGUCCCGCCCCGAAUGGAGCGUGUAAUACCCGCCUAAUCAAGUACACGUGAUGGGUAUGGAGCGAGGGUCAUUGUUCCGAAGCGGGUAUGAGACGGGUACGGGAAACAUAGUCCCGCCCCCGUUUAAUAUUAAUUUCAAAUUUAAGUUUUUAUCAAACAAAAAUAAUAGAUUUAUCAUCAUUUUUAAAGAAAACAUAAGUUGUUUUUAACAAAUUGGUAAAAAAGUAACAAUAUUUACUAACUAAGGAGAUAAAAAAUAAAAGCAAAAAUAAAAGAAAAAGAAAAAGAAAAAAUAAAUGAGGCGAUAAAUGGGGCAGGAGACUUGCCCCGCCCCGCCCCGAUCCUGCACCGAACCCGCCCUGUCCCGUCCCGCUUUAACCGGGUAUGGGUAUGAGAUAAGAUAACAAAAAUACCCGACAGAACGGGGGUAUGAAUGGCCGACCCGUUCCAUACCCGUCCCGACCUGUUGCCAUCCCUAAAUGAAAAUAUAUUCCUUACUCGGCUGCUAUAGGUGUAAAGAAUUUAUAGUUUUCUGGCAACAUGUUAUAUUAUUUCUUCAAUUUUGAAAAAAAAAAAUGCUUCUUUAAUUUUCUCUAAAUAAAAAUAGUUUCACUAGAAUAAAUUAACACCUUUAAAACUGUGAACGUAAUUCGUCCAAGAUGUUUUUGACGGUCCAUCUUAUACUCAUAUUUCCAAUGACCAAUUUACCAAAACAAAAGGCAUUUUUACUAGGAAAAAUGGUAUAUUAAAUACGCAGUCAAAACUAGAAACACUUUCAUUGGAACCAUGUACUUGGGUAGGAGCGAAGUCAAGGAAGCACUAAAAAAAAUAUAAAUAAAAAUAAAAAUAAUAAAAAAAUCACAUAAAUUUUCUUUUUUAACACAUUUUUUCUUAGGAAAAAGGGGUUUGGGCCUGAUUGGUCUGGGCUAGCCCAGGACUAAAUCCGUCUAUGUACUGGAUAGGGUAUGAAUCUGAAUAAUCUCGAGUGAUAUAUAGCAUUAUUCAUUUUCAAUGGUAGACUACCAAGUUAUGUAGGUCGUGCCUAGUCAAUUACUCUAACCUUGUCUAGAUUUUAAUAUAAGUAAUGCUAUAUAUAAUUAUUAGUGUUUAAUUUCAAUUUAGGCAAUGUAACGAUUUAAGCCCUCUUUUUGGUUCAGUUAAAUAUCUAAAUUAUAAUCUAAGUCAUGAUCAACAAUUAAUUUUAAUAACAUAUUUUAUGGAAUCCACAAUUUUUUAAUUACACAUUUUAUCAACUUUUAUCAAAAUCUAUUAAAUUUUUUGUUUUAUUUUUAUUUUUGUUAAUCUUAAACAAAUUGGGGCUAAAUGAUGAAAGCAAAAUGUUAAAUAAUUUAGGUUGACUCAAAAGUAGGCAUGCUAGCACCUUUAGUAAUCCUCCUCAUUUAUUUAUUUAUUUUAAAGAAAAUCUCUAAAUGAAGAGAAUUUAAAAGUAUACUCUUUAUUUAAAUUGGGAAGAUUUUACGGAAAAAAAAAAUUAACUUUAAACUCGCCAACAUUAUAUUCAAGGGUAAGAAAAAUGUCUCAAUUUUGUUAGUAAAAAACAUUUUUGUUUCAAUUUAAUCACUUGAUCCAAAUGUUGGCCCGAAGGGGUGCAUUUUGCUACCAUUAGAACCAAGUAACGGACCUUACAAGAAAUUUCAACUAACUCAAAAAUUGCAAUUUAUGUAGCUUGACAAAGAAAUAACGCUCUUCCUUUGUGGAGAAGAAAUGUAUUCAUCAAUGCUCUACAUGGGUCCCAAAAUUUGGGCAUCUUUUGGAAAUACCAAAUUUUUAUAAAAAUCAUAACCCUAAUUGCAUUUAAUUAGCAAUUCUUUUCUAUCCAGAGCAUCAAAAGCACCUCGACACACACUACAACCUACAGAGAUGGGUGUGAAUGAAGUGAUAAAUUUCAUUUUCGAAAAGUUGAAGGAAUUACUACAGGCAAUUGAAAAUUUUGGUGGCGAGGUCGUGGAUUGGUUUGACAAGGUGUUUCCACCGGAGACAAGAGGCGAUGAGAUCCACCACUGGCUCCAUGUCGCCACCCUGUUCCUCGUUAUUGCGGCUACAUUGAUCUUGUUCAUCUGUUUCUGCCGCUGCUGCUGCGGCUGCUGUAGGGGCCGCGGCGGUGGAAGAGUGAGGACGAUGAAAGCGCCGGGGAGAAAUAUAAGAAUGGCGAGAAGUGUAUUUGAGAACGAUCCCAAAGGCUAUUUCUGGAAUCUUAGAGCUCAUCCUGGUGAUGAACUUUGCUAAAAGUCAGCUAUGAUUUUCUGGUAAUGUUGUUUGAUCAAAAAUGGAUUACGAAUUUACGAUGUAUGAAUCUAUGUUAUUAUGAAUUGGACCGGAGUAGCCGGUUCAAUUGGAACGGUUUGAAAUCCUCUUUUCCUUGUUUGCUUGUUUGUGUAUUUUGCUACGGUAUGAAUUUGUGGGCUUUUGCUAUAUAUUUUCAUCAUCAAAUGCCACUCUUUGUGUAUUAAAUGUCAAUAAUUGUUUACAAAGUCCUUGAUUGAUGACGAAUUUGUUAGAUAUUUAUAUAUAUGAUAAAUAUAUUAUUUGAAAGAAAUAAUCAAAUUUGACAAUGUGCCUAAUUGAUGAAAAGUGUUGAAUUUGUGUAGGAGUCGAAAGUUCGAUUCACAGUUAACGCGAUUGUUAAAAUGUCUUUGUUCUUGGGCUUCGUUGAU